GACGAACGCUGGCGGCGUGCCUAAUACAUGCCAGUAGAACGCUGAAGGAGGAGCUUGCUUCUCUGGAUGAGUUGCGAACGGGUGAGUAACGCGUAGGUAACCUGCCUGGUAGCGGGGGAUAACUAUUGGAAACGAUAGCUAAUACCGCAUAAGAGUAGAUGUUGCAUGACAUUUGCUUAAAAGGUGCAAUUGCAUCACUACCAGAUGGACCUGCGUUGUAUUAGCUAGUUGGUGGGGUAACGGCUCACCAAGGCGACGAUACAUAGCCGACCUGAGAGGGUGAUCGGCCACACUGGGACUGAGACACGGCCCAGACUCCUACGGGAGGCAGCAGUAGGGAAUCUUCGGCAAUGGACGGAAGUCUGACCGAGCAACGCCGCGUGAGUGAAGAAGGGUUUCGGAUCGUAAAGCUCUGUUGUAAGAGAAGGACGAGGGUGAGAGUGGAAAGUUCACACUGUGACGGUAUCUUACCAGAAAGGGACGGCUAACUACGUG
rnacentral:rRNA from 1 species